rnacentral:rRNA from 1 species
CCUACGGGUGGCAGCAGUGAGGAAUAUUGGUCAAUGGACGAGAGUCUGAACCAGCCAAGUAGCGUGAAGGAUGACUGCCCUAUGGGUUGUAAACUUCUUUUAUAUGGGAAUAAAAUUUUCCACGUGUAGUAUUUUGUAUGUACCAUAUGAAUAAGGAUCGGCUAACUCCGUGCCAGCAGCCGCGGUAAUACGGAGGAUCCGAGCGUUAUCCGGAUUUAUUGGGUUUAAAGGGAGCGUAGGUGGAUUGUUAAGUCAGUUGUGAAAGUUUGCGGCUCAACCGUAAAAUUGCAGUUGAUACUGGCUGUCUUGAGUACAGUAGAGGUGGGCGGAAUUCGUGGUGUAGCGGUGAAAUGCUUAGAUAUCACGAAGAACUCCGAUUGCGAAGGCAGCUCACUGGACUGUAACUGACACUGAGGCUCGAAAGUGUGGGUAUCAAACAGGAUUAGAUACCCGAGUAGUC